GACGAACGCUGGCGGCGUGCUUACACCUGCCAGUCGAACGGAAAGGCCCUGCUUUUGUGGGGUGCUCGAGUGGCGAACGGGUGAGUAACACGUGAGUAACCUGCCCUUGACUUUGGGAUAACUUCAGGAAACUGGGGCUAAUACCGGAUAGGAGCUCCUGCUGCAUGGUGGGGGUUGGAAAGUUUCGGCGGUUGGGGAUGGACUCGCGGCUUAUCAGCUUGUUGGUGGGGUAGUGGCUUACCAAGGCUUUGACGGGUAGCCGGCCUGAGAGGGUGACCGGCCACAUUGGGACUGAGAUACGGCCCAGACUCCUACGGGAGGCAGCAGUGGGGAAUAUUGCACAAUGGGCGGAAGCCUGAUGCAGCAACGCCGCGUGCGGGAUGACGGCCUUCGGGUUGUAAACCGCUUUCGCCUGUGACGAAGCGUGAGUGACGGUAAUGGGUAAAGAAGCACCGGCUAACUACGUG
rnacentral:rRNA from 1 species